rnacentral:lncRNA from 1 species
UUCUAACAAAAAAGAAUUGUUUUUCCUUUUAAAUUUAACUUUACAGUAGAAAAAAAAAACGGCUAUAAGACUUUUAUACCUUUUUCACUAUUCAUAAUCUUUAUGGGAAACUUCUUAUGACCUUCCUAUUUCAUGUCAUAAAAUAGUAGUCCAACUUUUUCACUGAUGUAGUGAGAAAUUAAAGAGUGAAACAAAGAAGAACGCCUGCAAAAGGAGCAGUGGUGAAAAGGAGGGAAAAAAAGUAAAGUUGAAAAGAGAAAACAAAAGGCAAAAAAUUACUAAAAGGGAAGCAAAAGUAAAGAAAAUGAUGCUCAAAUCUCGCUACCCAGAUGUUUACACGCAGAAAACUCAACAAAAUUGGUGCUUAGAUCAAUUAAAGAGUGAUAAAAAGUUAAAACUUCACCUUUUUCACCAUAGUUAAUAGGUGGUAAAAACUGAAAGCAAGUUGUGGGGUUGGAGCUGCAUUUGGUCAAGGAUCAAGGAGCAAAAGAGGUGGCACCGUCGCCGGCGCCGGCGGAGGAAGCUAUCCCAAAAUCUUCUCUGAUCUCCAUUCACUCCUAUCAUAUCGCCGGACUUCACCUUCUCCGAUGGAAAAUACAACAAUUUCUCAGAGGUUAAGAGGUGAGCAAGAGAAAGGGCAAGGGUAUAAGUGUUUUGGUUAAAUUUUGUUAACGUGGCUAUCACUGGUACUAACCAGAUUAAUUAAUUUUUAAUAGUAUUCCGUUAGUGAAUAAAGGCAUUUGUCUGCCCCUUUAAGGACGAAUGAUCUCAAUAUUAACAGAUGACAAAAGUGGAGAAUUUUUUUAUUUUUUAUUUUAUUUUAUUUUUUUUUAUAUAUGUGAUGUUCCGCCGGCUUGCACGUAGCUAAAUUAUUUAUAGACAAAUUUGGAUAUUUUCAAUGUGAUUUUUAAAUUCUUCAAAAAAAAUUAAUAAAAUACGUACUUAUAAACUACUAAUAUAAAAGGUACGUCUUACUAUUUUACAUUUAAAUUUGCUUAUGUGAUGGAGGGGCAUAUAUGUUUUGAUUAGUAUUUAGUAGGUUAGCAAACUACUUAUUGAGAUUUAUCGAAAGCUUGAGUUAUGAUAAUAUCUAAUAAUUUCUUGUAUUUUGUGAGUGAAGUUUCAAAUUCCCAAUCUAAUUUUAACUGUCUGUUAAAUUUUCAGGGCUCAGCAAACGUGAUAUGCAUCAGCGCUCUUUAUUAUCUUAUAAUUAAUAAAUAUAUAAUAAUUAUAUAUCAUAAAUUAUUUUAAUAUGGAUUCAGGUUGAUCUAAAUUUAAUAUUCAUUUUCCACCAACACAUGGUGGAUCAACU